rnacentral:misc_RNA from 1 species
UAUAUAUAUAUAUAUAUAUAUAUAUAUAUA